AGAACAUUGAACUUGUCCUUUCAGAGUAGGCUUUGAUCUAACUGCCAAAUUUAUCUACUUAACGUAUAUUGUUUAUACUGGUAGUUUUUUUUUUUUUAUUAUUGGCGUUUUUUUGGCUGAUUGCUUUCUAACUGCCUAAAGCGUCUCCAUAAUCUCACUCGUCAGUUCGUCUCUUCCUCUAUCUCUCCUUAUAUGAUUUUACAUUCUGACAUUGUUACCAGAAAUCCACUAGCGAGUAGAAAUUCACCCUCGAUAAGUGUGCCAUAGACUCAGAUUUGCAGUUGCAAGUAACGUUUAGGCCUGGUUAGUAAUGUAGGACUUUUGUAAUGUAAACAUUGUGAUCCCUGUUGAUCACUAAUGACAGGUUUCUCACGGUUUCCUCAAAAGUCAGGUUGAAAUUAUCAACUUGAAAACAGUACCAAUUUUAUUAAUAUGUUUCAGUGUAUUUGGACAGAGGCAUCAUUUUAGCCAGUGAAUCUGCUAUAAUGAGUCUAAACCAUAGAAAAAAAAGGCAAUCUUGCACAGUCAGACACACUCCAUCUUCUCUCCUUCUGGGAUUAAUGGACAUAAUACAUCAACAAUCUAUGCCGCUGAUGUUGAGAGCAGCCUUGAACGGACCCCUCGCUCAUCUUCGUCCUCUUUGAAAAACCUAUCAGGAUUUGAUACCAAACCUUUUAGCCACAGUCUCUGCUCCUGGACAAAAAGUCAUGAAAUUCCCACUGGACCUUCGCAAGGCUUAUUGGUUUAACUUGCUGUAUGCAUAGACAUAAAAGGUGGGGUAUAUCAUUUCCCCCUUUCCCGAGGGUAAUUUUGAUUAACCGCCCUGUGGGUUAAUCCUUUUGGAGGGUUUAAUUCAAAUUAAAAUUCGACAGGUGUUUUAAUACAUUUACCAACAAUGCAAAGAAAAGCAAUGAAGUACAUGAGCAGGAUUUGGACUUUGCAGCAUUUACAAAUAUAUUCAUUUGAAUUAAGUCUUCAUUCACGCAGUCGAAAUUGUGGAUAAAGAUCCCUUUGGGCGAACUUGUGGUGACACUCAACAUAAUGCCUGUUCUGAGUCUGUGAGCCCAUGGAACAAAGACCCACUUAUUGCAGCAUUGCUAAUCUACUCAGGCUAAACACAAUAGACGAAUUCAUCAAAUGUAUACAUUUUAACC